AUUGAACGCUGGCGGCAGGCCUAACACAUGCAAGUCGAACGGUAACAGGAAGCAGCUUGCUGCUUCGCUGACGAGUGGCGGACGGGUGAGUAAUGUCUGGGAAGCUGCCUGAUGGAGGGGGAUAACUACUGGAAACGGUAGCUAAUACCGCAUAAUGUCGCAAGACCAAAGAGGGGGACCUUCGGGCCUCUUGCCAUCGGAUGUGCCCAGAUGGGAUUAGCUUGUUGGUGGGGUAACGGCUCACCAAGGCGACGAUCCCUAGCUGGUCUGAGAGGAUGACCAGCCACACUGGGACUGAGACACGGUCCAGACUCCUACGGGAGGCAGCAGUGGGGAAUAUUGCACGAUGGGCGCAAGCCUGAUGCAGCCAUGCCGCGUGUAUGAAGAAGGCCUUCGGGUUGUAAAGUACUUUCAGCGGGGAGGAAGGGAGUAAAGUUAAUACCUUUGCUCAUUGACGUUACCCGCAGAAGAAGCACCGGCUAACUCCGUG
rnacentral:rRNA from 1 species